rnacentral:rRNA from 1 species
AGAGUUUGAUCCUGGCUCAGAUUGAACGCUGGCGGCAGGCCUAACACAUGCAAGUCGAACGGUAACAGGAAGCAGCUUGCUGCUUCGCUGACGAGUGGCGGACGGGUGAGUAAUGUCUGGGAAACCGCCUGAUGGAGGGGGAUAACUACUGGAAACGGUAGCUAAUACCGCAUAACGUCGCAAGACCAAAGAGGGGGACCUUAGGGCCUCUUGCCAUCGGAUGUGCCCAGAUGGGAUUAGCUAGUAGGUGGGGUAACGGCUCACCUAGGCGACGAUCCCUAGCUGGUCUGAGAGGAUGACCAGCCACACUGGAACUGAGACACGGUCCAGACUCCUACGGGAGGCAGCAGUGGGGAACAUUGCACAAUGGGCGCAAGCCUGAUGCAGCCAUGCCGCGUGUAUGAAGAAGGCCUUCGGGUUGUAAAGUACUUUCAGCGGGGAGGAAGGGAGUAAAGUUAA